GCCAGGCAAGAUGGCACAUGCCUGUAAUCCCAGCAGCCGGGAGGCUGAGGCAGGAGGAUGGCAAGUUUGAGGCCAGCUUUAGCAACUUAGACCCUGUCUCAA
rnacentral:sRNA from 1 species